rnacentral:rRNA from 1 species
GAUGAACGCUGGCGGCGUGCCUAAUACAUGCAAGUAGAACGCAGAAGGUGGAGCUUGCUUCUCUGGAUGAGUCGCGAAAGGGUGAGUAACGCGUAGGUAACCUGCCUGGUAGCGGGGGAUAACUAUUGGAAACGAUAGCUAAUACCGCAUAAGAGCAGAUGCUGCAUGACCUUAGCUUCAAAGUUGCAAUUGCAUCACUACCAGAUGGACUUGCGUUGUAUUAUGUAGUUGGUGGGGUAACGGCUGUCCAAGGGGAAGAUACAUACCCGGCCAGGGAGGGGGAACGGCCAAACUGGGAAUGGGACAAGGCCCAGACUUCUUCGGGGAGGAGCAGUAAGGGAACUUCGGCAAUGGACGGAAGUCUGACCGGGCAACGCCGCGUGGGUGAAGGAGGUUUUCGGGUCGGAAAGCUCUGUUGUUAGGGAAGAAAGGGUGUGGGGGUGAAAAGUUCACGCUGUGACGGUAUCUUACCAGAAAGGCACGGCUAACUACGUG